GGAAGGGUCAUAGCUCUGUGGUAGAGCAUCCGUUUUGCAUGCAGAAGGUCUUGGGUUCAAUCUCUGGUAUUUCCA